GAUAACCGAAGAUAACAGCCGGGUUCAGUGUCGGGUUCGUAAUGAUCCGCACGUCACCACCGCCGGGUGCCCAACUAUCAUAAACACCACCGACAAACAUGGCUUUGAUUACGAGCAGUAAAGCACCUAGACCUAAAACAAUCAGGUGGAACCCGAUGAUUGUGGUCAUCUUGUUCUUAUCUUUCCA
rnacentral:antisense_RNA from 1 species